AUGUAUACGCACACGCACACACCAUACACUCACCAACUCGCUCCUUGUCCGUUCUUCCCUUCCCCGUCCACUGCGGACAGUGAUUAAGGGUGGUUUUGUCUGGUUUUUGUUCGUUUCGCUUCGCAUUGUGUGUGUGUGUGUCCCUACGUGUUGCAGCUGAACUCACUGCCUCUUAUUAGUAUCUAUUUAGUGUCUCUGCGCAGCACAGAAGCUCUUCCUCGACUCGCACAAAAAAGGAAAAGAGGAUCGUUUCUUUUCUUUUUGGCGUGUGUGGGAGGUGUGGGGUGGGGGGCUCCCUUUAGAACCAUCAUGACUCUUGGGCUGGUAGAAUCGUCCCGCAACGCGGCCUUCGCGGUCGCUGCGCACGCGCCGGUGCUGGGACUCAUUCUGCUUGGCAGCAUCGUGGCAUAUGUUGGUACCAUGCGCUACAUCCCAAAUGUGGCGAGGACGCUCUUGGAGCGCAACAUCUUCGGCAUCGACAUUAACAAGAACACGGAGGAGCAGCGCCAGAAGUUUGCUGCGAAGCGCCGGGCCGGUCAGACAGAGGAGAAGGAAUUCCAGAAGCAGGCGAUCCCAGAGUCUCUCGGCAUCCUCGUAGGUGCCGUGUACCUUUCUGUGGUGAUGGUGCUCACCGUGUGUCUCCGGUUUCUCGGCGCCGCUGGUGAAGGGUCAGACAACCCUUAUGCAUCUCUUCCGGGCCCCUUGAUGACCAUCACCCUCAUGCUUCUCUUGGGCUUCGUUGAUGACGUGCUGGAUGUGAAAUGGCGCCACAAGAUCAUCCUCACGACGCUCGGCUCGCUGCCUCUCAUCAUGACGUACGACGGAAGUCUAUCCGUGCUGAUGCCGUGCGUGUUCGGUCGCUUCGGUCUGCCCACCAUGAACGUAACGAAGAAGUGGCUUCUUGGCCUCGCUGCCAGACAAGGCGAACCGACGACCACCUUUCGCGUCACGGCACCCUCGACGUGGUUCUCCUACGUUGUCAACCACCGCUCCUACGUGAAGGUCUCCGAAAGCGGCGCAGCGUUGAUCUACCUCGGUCCCGUCUACCUCGUUUACUUGUCCAUGCUGUGCAUCUUCUGCACCAACAGCAUUAACAUUCUCGCCGGCGUCAACGGUGUGGAGGUGGGGCAGAGCAUUGUGAUCGCAGUCGCGUCUGUUGUGUACAACCUAUUCCAGAUGCGCCUCGAAAGACAGGCGAGGCCGACCUUGCGCAGCGUCGACGCUGCGGCGGCAGAUGCACGCGACAUGACGAGCGACCAUCAACUGCGCGCGCUGCUCUUGCUGGGCCCUUUCAUCGGUGUGAGCCUGGCCCUCUGGCGCUACAACCGCUACCCCGCCCGCGUCUUCGUGGGAGACAGCUAUACCUACUUUGCCGGUACCGUGCUGGCGGUGUCCAGCAUCACCGGCGUGUACAGCAAGACACUGCUGCUCUUUUUCGCGCCGCAGGUGUUCAACUUUAUCAUAUCACUGCCGCAGCUCUUCAGCAUUGUGCCGUGUCCGCGCCACCGCGUGCCAACGUGGAACCCGCGGACGAACUUGUUGUCGAACAGCCACAACUAUACCAUCCUCAACGUUGUCCUCUACCUCUUCGGCGAUAUGCACGAGGAGAAGCUGACGUGGGCGAUCCUCAAGUGUCAGGUCAUCGCCUGUGUUUUUGGGUUCGUCGUACGGUACGUGUUGAGCUCUUUUCUCUACGAUGAAGUGCGCUAGAGACAGGUUGGAAGGACGCGCAAGAGAGGCCACGCAUUGUGCAGUCGAGUGUUUGUUGUUGUUUCUUUUUUGCCUUCACCUCUGUGUGUGCGGAUGUCGAGUGCCCUGGACUGGUGCACAUUGCGGCUCGAGAAGACUCGCAGAUGGGGUGAAACGAGGACCGUCUCUACGCCGAUAUUGUGAGCAUGCGUGCAGCCGUCCCAUCCGACGCUCCUCCGCCUCGAAUGCGCAGGACUACGCUUUUGUUGCGUGGUCCUGCCGUAAGGAAGCAGAUGUAUUCCGUGGCUGCAGUGAGAACUGUGGCCCAUGCACUGCUGGCGUGCACCCUGUGCAUAAAGGGGGAAAAACACGCAAACAUACUUUCUACGAGCGCUCUCCUUUUCUGCAGGGGCGGGACGCAAAAGAAAGCGUCUCAGUGGCUGGCGUCUGUUUUCGCUUUUCUUUUCUGGAUGGCGCCAGCGUUGGCUGCCACCUAUCUGCCCCUUCUUUCGCCAUGGUGGAUUACUUUCCUG
rnacentral:misc_RNA from 1 species